rnacentral:lncRNA from 1 species
CUGUCCUAUCUAAAAAGUUCACUUAUACCAGCAAUUAUUUAAUUAUAGCAAUAAUAAUGGAUUCAUGAUGUUCAUUGAAAAAGGCUGUCUUAUUUUGUACAAAAUGUAUGGCCAAUUUGGACUUUAUAUGUUAUCGAGAUGAGACUGACACACGAAUCCCUGUCUGUUCGCUCCCAUUCACGUUCGCGCCCAGUCUUGUUCGCAC